GGGAGAAAGCAGGGGACCUUCGGGCCUUGCGCUAUCAGAUGAGCCUAGGUCGGAUUAGCUAGUUGGUGGGGUAAUGGCUCACCAAGGCGACGAUCCGUAACUGGUCUGAGAGGAUGAUCAGUCACACUGGAACUGAGACACGGUCCAGACUCCUACGGGAGGCAGCAGUGGGGAAUAUUGGACAAUGGGCGAAAGCCUGAUCCAGCCAUGCCGCGUGUGUGAAGAAGGUCUCCGGAUUGUAAAGCACUUUAAGUUGGGAGGAAGGGCAGUAAAUUAAUACUUUGCUGUUUUGACGUUACCGACAGAAUAAGCACCGGCUAACUCUGUGCCAGCAGCCGCGGUAAUACAGAGGGUGCAAGCGUUAAUCGGAAUUACUGGGCGUAAAGCGCGCGUAGGUGGUUCGUUAAGUUGGAUGUGAAAUCCCCGGGCUCAACCUGGGAACUGCAUUCAAAACUGACGAGCUAGAGUAUGGUAGAGGGUGGUGGAAUUUCCUGUGUAGCGGUGAAAUGCGUAGAUAUAGGAAGGAACACCAGUGGCGAAGGCGACCACCUGGACUGAUGCUGACACUGAGGUGCGAAAGCGUGGGGAGCAAACAGGAUUA
rnacentral:rRNA from 1 species